AGAGUUUGAUUCUGGCUCAGAACGAACGCUGGCGGCGUGGAUAAGACAUGCAAGUCGAACGAGAGAAUUGCUAGCUUGCUAAUAAUUCUCUAGUGGCGCACGGGUGAGUAACACGUGAGUAACCUGCCCCCGAGAGCGGGAUAGCCCUGGGAAACUGGGAUUAAUACCGCAUAGAAUCGCAAGAUUAAAGCAGCAAUGCGCUUGGGGAUGGGCUCGCGGCCUAUUAGUUAGUUGGUGAGGUAACGGCUCACCAAGGCGAUGACGGGUAGCCGGUCUGAGAGGAUGUCCGGCCACACUGGAACUGAGACACGGUCCAGACACCUACGGGUGGCAGCAGUCGAGAAUCAUUCACAAUGGGGGAAACCCUGAUGGUGCGACGCCGCGUGGGGGAAUGAAAACCCCUGUCAUGUGGGAGCAAAUUAAAAAGAUAGUACCACAAGAGGAAGAGACGGCUAACUCUGUGCCAGCAGCCGCGGUAAUACAGAGGUCUCAAGCGUUGUUCGGAAUCACUGGGCGUAAAGCGUGCGUAGGCUGUUUCGUAAGUCGUGUGUGAAAGGCGCGGGCUCAACCCGCGGACGGCACAUGAUACUGCGAGACUAGAGUAAUGGAGGGGGAACCGGAAUUCUCGGUGUAGCAGUGAAAUGCGUAGAUAUCGAGAGGAACACUCGUGGCGAAGGCGGGUUCCUGGACAUUAACUGACGCUGAGGCACGAAGGCCAGGGGAGCGAAAGGGAUUAGAUACCCCUGUAGUCCUGGCAGUAAACGGUGCACGCUUGGUGUGCGGGGAAUCGACCCCCUGCGUGCCGGAGCUAACGCGUUAAGCGUGCCGCCUGGGGAGUACGGUCGCAAGAUUAAAACUCAAAGAAAUUGACGGGGACCCGCACAAGCGGUGGAGUAUGUGGCUUAAUUCGAUGCAACGCGAAGAACCUUACCUGGGCUUGACAUGUAAUGAACAACAUGUGAAAGCAUGCGACUCUUCGGAGGCGUUACACAGGUGCUGCAUGGCCGUCGUCAGCUCGUGUCGUGAGAUGUUUGGUUAAGUCCAGCAACGAGCGCAACCCC
rnacentral:rRNA from 1 species